rnacentral:snRNA from 2 species
AUUGUUUCUCUGACUUUUGGCUAAGAUGAAGUUUAGUAUCUGUUCUUAUCAGUUUAAAGUGGCAUAGUAUUUGCAUAUAGCCUAUGCAUCCUCUAUACAUUAAGUAAUCUCU